GACGAACGCUGGCGGCGUGCUUAACACAUGCAUGUCGAACGGAAAGGCCCCUUCGGGGGUCCUCGAGUGGCGAACAGGUGAGUAACACGUGCGUAACCUGCCCUUGACUUCGGGAUAACUUCAGGAAACUGGGGCUAAUACCGGAUAGGAAUCCUUGCUGCAUGGUGGGGGUUGGAAAGCUUCGGCGGUUUUGGAUGGACUCGCGGCUUAUCAGCUUGUUGGUGGGGUAGUGGCUUACCAAGGCUUUGACGGGUAGCCGGCCUGAGAGGGCGACCGGCCACAUUGGGACUGAGAUACGGCCCAGACUCCUACGGGAGGCAGCAGUGGGGAAUAUUGCACAAUGGGCGGAAGCCUGAUGCAGCAACGCCGCGUGCGGGAUGACGGCCUUCGGGUUGUAAACCGCUUUCAGCAGGGGCGAAGCUUGUGGUGACGGUACCUGCAGAAGAAGCACCGGCUAACUACGUG
rnacentral:rRNA from 1 species